rnacentral:rRNA from 1 species
CAGUAGCCGCGGGAAUACGGAGGGGGCUAGCGUUGUUCGGAAUUGCUGGGCGUAAAGCGCACGUAGGCGGCUUGGUAAGUUAGAGGUGAAAGCCUGGAGCUCAACUCCAGAAUUGCCUUUAAGACUGCCGAGCUAGCAGGUGAGAGAGGUAAGUGGAAUUCCGAGUGUAGAGGUGAAAUUCGUAGAUAUUCGGAAGAACACCAGUGGCGAAGGCGGCUUACUGGCUCAUACUGGACGCUGAGGUGCGAAAGCGUGGGGAGCAAACAGGAUUAGAUACCCCCGUAGUCCCUGUCUCUUAUAC